UACGGGGGGAGCAAGCGUUGUUCGGAUUUACUGGGCGUAAAGGGCGCGUAGGCGGCGCAACAAGUCACUUGUGAAAUCUCCGGGCUUAACCCGGAGCGGCCAAGUGAUACUGUCGUGCUAGAGUGCGGAAGGGGCUACUGGAAUUCUCGGUGUAGCGGUGAAAUGCGUAGAUAUCAGGAGGAAUACCGAUGGCGAAGGCAGGUCUCUGGGCUGACACUGACGCUCAUGCACGAAAGCGUGGGGAGCAAACAGG
rnacentral:rRNA from 1 species